UACGUAGGGUGCAAGCGUUGUUCGGAAUUACUGGGCGUAAAGGGCUCGUAGGCGGCCAACUAAGUCGGACGUGAAAUCCCUCGGCUUAACCGGGGAACUGCGUCCGAUACUGGAUGGCUGGAGGUUGGGAGAGGGAUGCGGAAUUCCAGGUGUAGCGGUGAAAUGCGUAGAUAUCUGGAGGAACACCGGUGGCGAAGGCGGCAUCCUGGACCAAUUCUGACGCUGAGGAGCGAAAGCCAGGGGAGCAAACGGG
rnacentral:rRNA from 1 species